rfam:Hordeum vulgare subsp. vulgare, WGS project CAJW01000000 data, contig: morex_contig_41479
AAACUACUCCCUCCGUCUGAAAAUACUUGUCAUAAGAAUGGAUGUUUCUAGAUGUAUUUUAGUUCUAGAUACAUCUUGUGCGAUAAGUAAUUCCGGACGGAGGAAAUAGUAA